GGGCCCUCGCGAUUGCUGUAGCCUGGGCUGACUCUUCUCGCCCGGUUACUGCCACCUGGUUCUAAAUCAGCACGUCCCCAAAGUGCCUGAGUAUAAGAAGUGUCUGCCAGGCUGAUUGAAAGUGUAGAAUAACAGGUGAAGAAACUGAGGCACAGAGUUAGUUUAUUGCCCUAAUCACAAAGCUACAGGUGGAAGAGGAGGGUUUGAACUCAGAUUUCCUGAAUCCAAAUCUUGGUGAUGUUUAACCUAAGGUGUACUACAUCCUGAGAGCUAGCUGUCCUCAUACUCUAGAGUGGUAGAAGCCUCCCCGCUUAUCUCGGUCUCCUGCUGCCUCAUGCUGCUGCUUGAGUAGUGUGUACAGCUCCAUCAAGUGUUUCACAGUCAUGAACUGAUGCAGAGUUUACCGCUGCCCACCAGAGUCGGAGCCAUGCCUGACCAGGGCUCAGAGAAGUUGCCCACUUCUUCUCCCUGGAGGCAGCCAGUACUGUUAGUUGCCUGUAUAUUCCUCCAGAGAUGUUUUGUGCACAUAUUUUCCCUUUGCCCAUUUUUUUUGCUAAUUAUAGCAUGAAAUAUCGAGUGCCUUACUUCUGAGAGAUGUUUUUCAGUAUCGUGUGUAAAGAGCAUCUUCACCCUUGUUAUGCCAGCAAAGGAUUCCAUUGUAUGGAAUCUUAUACCAGCAAGAUAGUCCCUUAUUGAUGGACAUUUAGGCUGUUCUCAGCUUCCAAAUAAUCUUGCAUUAAUUAAACCUGUACACAUUCACUUCACGGAUGGGUGGGUCUAGUUGUAGGAAAAACUCAGAUACCUGGACCUUACAGGUCAAAAGAUCAUCCUCUCCACACGUGAGCAGACAUGAACCACCAGGCUGCUCCGCCUGCCCUAUCUAAGCUCUUCCCUGUUCCCACCCAGUGACGCAGACCUGGAUAACGCCCCAAAGAGGGGCUGAACCCCACCACAUGGCUCCUGGUGUGGCUCAGUGGCAAGAAUCACCCUUUCUUUGGGAGAUGACAUAUACUGUCUUCAAAGUCUUACUCAGAGACCUCUCAGGGAGGAUCAGCCCUUGAUCCUUCCCACAGCCCAACCUCAGGGACACCUGUUUCCAUGGCCUCUCUUCAUCCACCUCAUUCAUAUCCUCAGCUCCAGCCCACUGACUUUGCCCCUACCCCCCAAACAGGGGCAAAGCCCACAGCAGGCCAAGGAGGUUGUGGUAGCCAGAACAAUGCCCCCUUGAAAGUAUCCAUGUCCUAGUCCCCCAAUUUUGUGAAUGUGUUGCCUUCCAUGGCAAAUGGGACUUCACAGAUGUGAUGAAGUUAAGGCUGUUGAGAUGGGGAGGUGAUCCUGUAUUAACUGGGGUGGAACCAGUUAAUUACAAGAGUCUUUAAACUCUGGAAGAAAGAGGCAGAAAGUGAGAGUCAGAGAGAGAUUAGAAGAUACUCUGAUGCUGGCUUUGGAGAUGGAGAAAGAGACCAUAAGCCAAGAGAUGUAGGUGACAUUUAUAAACUGGAAAAGACAGAGGAAGUUAUUCUCCCCUAAAGCAUCCAGAAGGAAUAUAACCCCCCACCACCACCUUGAUUUUAGCCCAAUGGGACCCGUUUGGACAUCUGACUUCCAGAACUCUAAGAUAAUACAUUUGCAUUGUUUUAGGCUCUAAGUUUGUGGCAAUCUGUGACAGCAGCCAUAGGAAACUCACACAGCAGUCCCUGCUCUACCCACUCAGUAGCCCAGUGCUGUCUCCCCACUGACUCUGCAGCCUUCUCCCUGCUCUCAGAUGACCUGGCCUCAAAUCCCAGUCUACUUACCUACUAGGUGCUCUUGGGCACUCACGCCAUCACUUUGAGCCUUGGUUCUCUCAUCUGCAAAACACAGCUCACAGACUGGCCGCACAGGCCUGCAGCAAGGGUUAAAUGAAAUUAUGCUUGUGAAGUCUCUUAGCAACCGUGCUUGGAACAAAAUUGGUGCUUGCUGAUAUUUUUAGUUGUUGAGCAUAAUUCUGUAGCUUUCAUUUGUGCUGCUAGAGCCACCUCCUGCUCUAGCCCUAGCUGCUAGCGCCCUAGCCCUCCCUGAGGAGUCAGGCCCUUCUUGCAAUGCUCGGACCAGCAGGGACUCUCAGGGAACAGACCCCUUCCCACAGUCCCUGGGGUGGAGGUGAGGGGCAGCAGAGCCUUGAGCAUUGCCCUCACAGCAAGGACACUCCACCUAGGUUCAAAUCCUUUCCCUGCCCCUUCUCAGCUAUGUGAUGUUGGGAGAGCUACUCCAUCAUGCCAAACCUCAGUUAUCUCCGUUGUAAAAAACCUCCAAGUAGGCUGUUUUGGUGUGAGGUUAAGGCUGUUGAGAUGGGGAGGUAAUCCUGCAUUAACUGGGGAUCAGGGUAUUGGUGUGAGCAUUGAGUGUAUUCUUGGCUGGGCGUGUAGCAAAUGCUUGAUAAACAGCAUCAACCAGUGGUCUCCCCAAACUAAGGAGGCAUGUCCCUCUCAAGUUGUGGCCCCUCUUUAAGAAAGAGCAGUCCUCCUGGAAUUAAUAAGCAAUAUAGCAGAUUGCAGGACACGAGGUUAAUGUAUAAAGGCCAAUUGCUUUCCUAUAUAGCAACAAUAAUCAAGUAAAAUUUGAAGUUAAAAACACAUUUUACAUCAGUACACCCCUAAAUGAAACACUUAGGUGUAAAUCUCACAAAAUAGGUUCAGGAUCUAUAUGAGGAAAACAACAAAGCUCUGAUGAAAUAAAAAAGCUAAAUAAAUGUUCAUGGAUAGGAACUUUCAAUGUUGUAAAAAUGUCUGUUCUUCCCAACUUGAUCUGUAGAUUUAGUGCAACCCCAUCAAAAUCCCAGCAAGUUAUUUUGCAGAUAUUGGCAAAUUGACUCUGAAAUUAAUAUAAAGAGACGAAGGACCCAGAAUAACCAAGACAAUAUUG
ensembl:lncRNA